rnacentral:rRNA from 1 species
GCAUCGAUGAAGAACGCAGCGAAAUGCGAUAAGUAAUGUGAAUUGCAGAAUUCAGUGAAUCAUCGAAUCUUUGAACGCACAUUGCGCCCCUCGGUAUUCCGAGGGGCAUGCCUGUUCGAGCGUCAUUACAACCCUCAAGCUCUGCUUGGUGUUGGGCACCGCCCUUCCGCGGGCGCGCCUCAAAGACCUCGGCGGUGGCGUCUUGCCUCGAGCGUAGUAGAAAACACCUCGCUUUGGAGCGCACGGCGCCGCCCGCCGGACGAACCUUUUGAACUUUCUCAAGGUUGACCUCGGAUCAGGUAGGGAUACCCGCUGAACUUAAGCAUAUCAAUAAGCGGAGGA